CCGCCUGGGGAGUACGGCCGCAAGGUUAAAACUCAAAUGAAUUGACGGGGGCCCGCACAAGCGGUGGAGCAUGUGGUUUAAUUCGAUGCAACGCGAAGAACCUUACCUGGUCUUGACAUCCACAGAACUUUCCAGAGAUGGAUUGGUGCCUUCGGGAACUGUGAGACAGGUGCUGCAUGGCUGUCGUCAGCUCGUGUUGUGAAAUGUUGGGUUAAGUCCCGCAACGAGCGCAACCCUUAUCCUUUGUUGCCAGCGGUCCGGCCGGGAACUCAAAGGAGACUGCCAGUGAUAAACUGGAGGAAGGUGGGGAUGACGUCAAGUCAUCAUGGCCCUUACGACCAGGGCUACACACGUGCUACAAUGGCGCAUACAAAGAGAAGCGACCUCGC
rnacentral:rRNA from 2 species